UACGUAGGGUGCAGGCGUUAAUCGGAAUUACUGGGCGUAAAGCGUGCGCAGGCGGUUUCUUAAGUCAGAUGUGAAAGCCCCGGGCUUAACCUGGGAACUGCGUUUGAAACUGGGAGACUAGAGUGUGGCAGAGGGGGGUGGAAUUCCACGUGUAGCAGUGAAAUGCGUAGGUAUGUGGAGGAACACCGAUGGCGAAGGCAACCCCCUGGGCUAACACUGACGCUCAUGCACGAAAGCGUGGGGAGCAAACAGG
rnacentral:rRNA from 1 species